rnacentral:rRNA from 1 species
GUGCCAGCCGCCGCGGUAAUACGUAGGGUGCAAGCGUUAAUCGGAAUUACUGGGCGUAAAGCGUGCGCAGGCGGUUUGCUAAGACCGAUGUGAAAUCCCCGGGCUCAACCUGGGAACUGCAUUGGUGACUGGCAGGCUAGAGUAUGGCAGAGGGGGGUAGAAUUCCACGUGUAGCAGUGAAAUGCGUAGAGAUGUGGAGGAAUACCGAUGGCGAAGGCAGCCC